rnacentral:rRNA from 1 species
AACUUUCAACAACGGAUCUCUUGGUUCCCGCAUCGAUGAAGAACGCAGCGAAACGCGAUAGUUAUGUGAAUUGCAGAAUUCAGUGAAUCAUCGAGUCUUUGAACGCACAUUGCGCCCAUUGGUAUUCCUUUGGGCAUGUCUGUUUGAGCGUCAUU